rnacentral:rRNA from 1 species
GAGUUUGAUCGUGGCUCAGAUUGAACGCUGGCGGCAGGCCUAACACAUGCAAGUCGAGCGGUAGAGAGAAGCUUGCUUCCCUUGAGAGCGGGCGGACGGGUGAGUAAUGCCUAGGAAUCUGCCUGGUAGUGGGGGAUAACGCUCGGAAACGGACGCUAAUACCGCAUACGUCCUACGGGAGAAAGCAGGGGACCUUCGGGCCUUGCGCUAUCAGAUGAGCCUAGGUCGGAUUAGCUAGUUGGUGAGGUAAUGGCUCACCAAGGCGACGAUCCGUAACUGGUCUGAGAGGAUGAUCAGUCACACUGGAACUGAGACACGGUCCAGACUCCUACGGGAGGCAGCAGUGGGGAAUAUUGGACAAUGGGCGAAAGCCUGAUCCAGCCAUGCCGCGUGUGUGAAGAAGGUCUUCGGAUUGUAAAGCACUUUAAGUUGGGAGGAAGGGCAGUAAAUUAAUACUUUGCUGUUUUGACGUUACCGACAGAAUAAGCACCGGCUAACUCUGUGCCAGCAG